AAUCAACGCUGGCGGCGUGCCUAACACAUGCAAGUCGAACGCGAGAGGGGCUUCGGCCCUGAUUGAGUGGCAAACGGGUGAGUAACGCGUGGGUGACCUACCUUCGAGUGGGGGAUAACGUUCCGAAAGGGACGCUAAUACCGCAUAACAUCCUGUCUUUGGACAGAUGGAGAUCAAAGCCGGGGAUCGUAAGACCUGGCGCUUGAGGAGGGGCCCGCGUCCGAUUAGCUAGUUGGUGGGGAAUGGCUCACCAAGGCAACGAUCGGUAGCCGGCCUGAGAGGGCGGACGGCCACACUGGGACUGAGACACGGCCCAGACUCCUACGGGAGCAGCAGUGGGGAAUUGUUCNCAAUGGGCGCAAGCCUGACGACGCAACGCCGCGUGAAGGAUGAAGGUC
rnacentral:rRNA from 1 species